UUUGUACUUCAUUAGGUGCUCUGGUGUAAACGAGAUUCCAGGCAUCUAAGGGAGUGCAAAUG
rnacentral:pre_miRNA from 1 species